rnacentral:tRNA from 1 species
CGGCGUGUAGCUCAGCAGAAGAGCACCGGACUCGGGAUCCGGAGGGCGCAGGGGCAGAACCUGCCGUGCCGG